rnacentral:lncRNA from 1 species
GCUUCAGCUGAAUUGCUUACAUGAUAUGCUAAGUCAGAUCUAAACCAAGCCCUGCCUAGCUGGGUUUACGCCCCUGCUCACCACAAUCGCUACCUUGUUUGCUUCGGAAUACUAUUAUUUAAUAGUUUGAUCACUUUUUUCCCCCAACCAUCGAUCCUAAAACCGGACAAUUAGGAUCACGUUACCAACCAUAUAUUUUAUCAUCCAUCAUGCAAGUCAUGUGGGGUCUUCGCCAGCAGUACUUUCAAUUAGUCAUGGAAGGAAAAUGGGAUGAGACUAUGAUUGGGCACAACUUCCGAAAAAUGUAGGGCUAAAAUAAAUGAUAAUUCAAUUUUUCAUGAGAAUUGUGCUUGCUUCUACAAUUGCGUGCUAACAAUAGUAAUAGGGUGGUGGAUGGGAAGGACUAAUCUUUACUCAUAAGUUCAGCAUUUGAUAAUAAUUUGGCUGCAGGUAAACAUUCAGAGUUUGGAAAAGGCCUAGCCAAUUUUUCAAAAAUGGGGAAAGCGUUCAAAUAAUCAAAAAUUAAAGAAUACGUGCUAUAAACAUAUGUUUUAGAACUGUUUAUAUUAAAAAUAAGGUAUGAAAGAGGUAAGAAUGAUAAAUGAUGGCAAACACAUUGAGACAACAUGAUCAUCCACUAGGUUGUAAGGCAUGUGGAUCUCUAAAGUAGCUUUGGCUAACUUGGGAACAAUUCAUAAAAUAUGCGGAUGCACAAAUCCGGUUUGUUUGCUGAUUGAAAAUAAUUCUGAGAAUCAUUCGACCAAGGGAAAGAAAAUGAGAAUAAUUCAAGGAUUUUCUUUUAAUAAUCUGGAGAACAUUUGUUACCGUGAACACAGAUAUCUACAUCAAUAUACAUCAUCUGCAUUUGCUGACUUUUGCAUUGCCCCAAAAUGGGGAUCCAGGCAAUGGACUGUUUCCCAUCCUAUGUACGUGGACUUUCUGAAACGGCCAACACCCUCAUAACCAUCCCUCUAUUUUGAGAACAAUGGUGGUAAGUCUCCAGUUUUUUUAACAAAAGCCACGGAAGAAUUUUCCAUGCCACAUAUUUGGAGAAACACCUCCUAAGGUUCAGAUGUAAAUUCUCCUCCCACUAAACAUGGAUGCAACCACUUGGUGGCUGGUCUUGUUUGCUUAUGGUAGUCUUUGUUUUCUCCACUUUGCCUUGUAUCAUGCAUUCCAUGAAAGUAAAUUUUUCCUAAUAAAAACAGUAGAGAAGAUGAUAAUCUUGUAUUGCUAUUUUAUUCCACUAUAUUUACAUUGCUAAUUCAAAGUAAUUUAAAUUACUUUCAGUGUGUAACUUAGGGAGCAUAUGUAACUAUUGAAGCUGCAUUAGAAGUGGUGUUCCAUAGAUCCAUAGGAAGCUCACAGGCAUAGGGCAGAUUUAUCAGGCGACAUGGAUAUGGGGACCCAUUAAAAUUCAACCGCACAGCAUGGUCAUUUGCAGAUACUGAGCUAAAAGAUUAGCCAUAAUGUUCCAAAAUUUUGGCAUUUUAGCGUAGGAUUUUAGCUAAAAUAAAAUGCCUUACCUAAAAUAUUCUUAGAUCCCUGUCCAAAGUUGCGUUGGAUAACUUAACGCAUUCUAGCGGGUCUAUCAGAAUAUUCUUUGAGAGAACUGGUAGAUAUGAAUAUAUUUUUGCUGGGAACUAUAUUCUCAUGGUUUAGAUCUAGGCAACCACAUGCUUGAUAGGUCCAUCCGAUCCCAACUUUUUAGAUCCUUUCACAUAAAUCCAAAUUCCUCUCUUUAAUCAGCUUCAUGUCUCUGCUAAGCAUACGUAAAGUCUCAAUCACUCUUCAGGCCAUUUCUC